UUCUCUUCAGGUUUACUUCGAGCGUUUCCUUUCCCUCCUUUGGGAUAAAUAACGGACGGUGGCGACUCUCCUGUCACUUCUUUCUCGCCGGUUGUUUUUUCGCACCUCUGUAUUUUUCAGGCUGCGACACUCUUUACCGUCACUUUCAGUCUCAAAAUGCAGAACCCUAAAAAAGAUGCCAAAAAAUUCAUUUUGUAUCACUUAAAUCUGUCCAAAACGCAUCAGAAUAGGCCCCGAAGAGGACCUAUCGCGUGCGUGAUAAAUUGUCGCACAUGAUUA
rnacentral:lncRNA from 1 species